rnacentral:rRNA from 1 species
UACGUAGGUGGCAAGCGUUGUCCGGAAUUACUGGGUGUAAAGGGCGUGUAGGCGGGAAGGCAAGUCAGAUGUGAAAGCCCAUGGCUUAACUGUGGAACUGCAUCUGAAACUGUUUUUCUUGAGUACUGGAGAGGAAAGUGGAAUUCCUAGUGUAGCGGUGAAAUGCGUAGAGAUUAGGAGGAACACCAGUGGCGAAGGCGGCUUACUGGACUGUAACUGACACUGAGGCUCGAAAGCGUGGGGAGCAAACAGGAUUAGAUACCCCUGUA